UACGGGGGGGCAAGCGUUGUCCGGAAUUAUUGGGCGUAAAGAGCGCGUAGGCGGUCCGAUAAGUCGGCUGUGAAAGUCAGGGGCUCAACCCUUGAAAGCCGGCCGAUACUGUCGGACUAGAGUCCGGAAGAGGCAAGUGGAAUUCCCGGUGUAGCGGUGAAAUGCGCAGAUAUCAGGAGGAACACCUGUGGUGUAGACGGCUUACUGGACCAUGACUGACGCUGAGGCACGAAAGCGUGGGGAGCAAACAGG
rnacentral:rRNA from 1 species